GGCUAGGCAGGCGUAUGUGGGGAAAGAGCAGAUUUUGAAGGGACACAUUUGGCAUGACUAUCUUAAGCAGCAUAAAUGAUUUUUCUAUUGACAGUCCUCAAAACAACACAUGAGUUUUCUGUAGGUAGUAAACUUUAGUGUAUUCAAAAGAAUCUCAAGUGCAUGACAGCAUUGAAGAGAGCAUCCCUGUGUGAGUAGAUGGUCAGACUGCUAGGAACUGGAACAGAGACAUGCCAGACCUGGCUAUGACCAUGAAAGCAAGGACAAUGCCUUUGGGAAUGACCAAGGACAGGUGGCAGACACAUGGAUCUCAGAAUGCCCAUGUGCAGAAGAGAGGUCCUGCCAACCUAGAACAGAGUGGAGUAUAAUAUGGUAGAGAAGUAAUAAUCUUUCUUAUUUAAGCCAUGCUCUGUUGUGGUCUCUGAUCUAUUAUACCAAAAUUAUUAUCAUUGACAAAUACAAUGCAUGUGU